rnacentral:rRNA from 1 species
AUUGAACGCUGGCGGCAGGCCUAACACAUGCAAGUCGAGCGGAUGAAGGGAGCUUGCUCCUGUAUUCAGCGGCGGACGGGUGAGUAAUUCCUAGGUAUCUGCCUUGUAGUUGGGGAUAACGUCCGGAAACGGGCGCUAAUACCGCAUACGUCCUGAGGGAGAAAGUGGGGGAUCUUCGGACCUCACGCUAUCAGAUGAGCCUAGGUCGGAUUAGCUAGUUGGUGGGGUAAAGGCCUACCAAGGCGACGAUCCGUAACUGGUCUGAGAGGAUGAUCAGUCACACUGGAACUGAGACACGGUCCAGACUCCUACGGGAGGCAGCAGUGGGGAAUAUUGGACAAUGGGCGAAAGCCUGAUCCAGCCACGCCGCGUGUGUGAAGAAGGUCUUCGGAUUGUAAAGCACUUUAAGUUGGGAGGAAGGACAGUAAGUUAAUACCUUGAUGUUUUGACGUUACCAACAGAAUAAGCACCGGCUAACUUCGUG